ACAUAUCUCGAACCACCCCACGAGUCUCUCUUAACCGUUCAAUUAACGUUCCGCUUGGUGUUGCCACACCUGUCCGCCAUCUGCUGUUGAGAUACUGUAACGGUUCUCGUCUGAAAAGAGGACUUCUCCCACUGCUGGUGCUGUGCUACCCACUGAAGACGGUCCAGGAAACAAAGAAGAAGACUGAAAGGAUACCACUGGGAGUGCUUCAGUGAGGACCUCAGUGACCGUUCUCCAUCACAGUAGGUGCUCAGCGGAGGGGACUACCUCACCCUUGAGAGGCAGAAACAAGCCAAUCAUGCACUUACGAGAUGGACCUACACCAAGUUCCAGAUUACAAGGACUUGUUCCAAAGAUGGAAGAGUUCCAUAACGAAGCUGAAUUUCUAAAGGUUAUAUGGAAACACUUGUACUCGUCCUCCUCUAACAAGUCUGUUUGGCACUCUGCAUGCUGCAAAGGAGCACAAUAAAUGCGGUGAAUGUUACUCAGGAUCCUCAUGACAACUUUUACCCAUGCUCUGAAUUCAUGGACAAGGUCACCACCGCCUACAUCGUAACUCGGGGACUACAUUACUUCCAAAUGGAACACCUCACUUCUGUCCCAACGUCAAGUUACAUGGGUGCUGUUGGCAAUCCAUAUAAAAUGAUUGAUUAUUUUCUAGGUCAUGCAGCAAAACAGUUUGUAGACAAGCACGUCUUACCGGAGGUUCCUCAACAGCCAGGUCAUGGUCUCCAAAUCAAACACACUAGCCUGCAGGUACUGUGGAAAACUGUACCAGAGACCAAAAGCUCUCCGCAAACACGAAGCAUCCGGAAUAUAAUGCUGAAAACAAUCAGGAUUCCACAUCUUCAGCAGAAUCAAGAUCAUCUAUUUAUCAGUACACCCGUCUGUCUCUCAUGCUUGGGCUUCUUCGAAUAAAUCACAACGAUUCCAUUCACAUGGGAGAUGGUGGCAGGCAUGAUGAGACUAGUAAAGUGGUUCUGUUUAUACUACAAGGCAAGCAAAUGUCCAAAGUAUGCAUAUGGUCUCCUUUGAAACACAGGCAAAGGCAUAUGCUCUCCUAUAUGAACGGCAGGCUUUAUAGAUUGAUAUGGAACCGCACAGUCAACCAUCAAGGCAGAGAAGACACCAAUCAUCCCAUCGACCUUGACUUGGAGCAUUGCAACAGGGCUUUCAAAGAUGAUGUACACACAUACAAGGGGAGGUACACAGAUAAAAGACGAUUCUCAAAGUCAGCAGAAGUGCGCUGUCAAUGGAAGAAUUAUGCCAAAAAUACGACAAAUUGGCAUUCCGCAAGAAAUGUUCGGGAAGGCAUGGAGUUGUUGAUCCUUCUUGGUGAUAUUCUUAAACUUGUAGAACAAUUCCAUUCCUAUGCAGCUCUAUUCAAUGAGGCCAACAAGCCACUGCCACAGAGAAAUCAAAAACAUGCUGAGUGACAUCCAAAAUUGGAUUUCAGAAAGUCUUAAAGUCUUCAGUAGCCGCACAUACUAUAACAUCUGAACCUUUUUUCCCGAUGUGUAAUUCAGUGUCACAUGAUUAAAACGAGACCCUGUUGCAAAGUCGCUAUCACUGUAUGUUUCAUGAUCUUCAUGUUCUGAGUCUGAGUGAGAUGAUGAGCUAUCACUCGAGUCAAGGGAAGUUUUGUACAACUCAAGAAUAUCACAUCUACAUUCACUACAUGGGGUAAUUGCAUGUCCAUGAGUCUCUGCAGUCACAGAGACACUUGCAAGAUAUGGCACAGUUGUCCAUAGCACUCAUGACUUCAGUAAAGCUCAACUCGUCGACAUACGUUGGUUCUGACAUACUGUUUCAUUUCAUCCGAAAUAUUCCGCCUGCCACUGAGACAUCGUCUAAAUUUCAUGAGAAGAGCAUGUGCCUGCUUUUCUGGAUCCCUGCCUGCUCCGUCCUUGUCUCUUGAAUAUAAUCCUCAACAUUAUUGGCUGGACCAUAGUGGAUGACGGUUUCCACACUUUCUUAGCAUUGUGUAUACACAACGUAAUUAACGGAUUCUGACAUCAGCCACAUAUCUCGGACCACCCCACGAGUCUCUCUUAACCGUUCAAUUAACGUUCCGCUUGGUGUUGCCACACCUGUCCGCCAUCUGCUGUUGAGAUACUGUAACGGUUCUCGUCUGAAAAGAGGACUUCUCCCACUGCUGGUGCUGUGCUACCCACUGAAGACGGUCCAGGAAACAAAGAAGAAGACUGAAAGGAUACCACUGGGAGUGCUUCAGUGAGGACCUCAGUGACCGUUCUCCAUCACAGUAGGUGCUCAGCGGAGGGGACUACCUCACCCUUGAGAGGCAGAAACAAGCCAAUCAUGCACUUACGAGAUGGACCUACACCAAGUUCCAGAUUACAAGGACUUGUUCCAAAGAUGGAAGAGUUCCAUAACGAAGCUGAAUUUCUAAAGGUUAUAUGGAAACACUUGUACUCGUCCUCCUCUAACAAGUCUGUUUGGCACUCUGCAUGCUGCAAAGGAGCACAAUAAAUGCGGUGAAUGUUACUCAGGAUCCUCAUGACAACUUUUACCCAUGCUCUGAAUUCAUGGACAAGGUCACCACCGCCUACAUCGUAACUCGGGGACUACAUUACUUCCAAAUGGAACACCUCACUUCUGUCCCAACGUCAAGUUACAUGGGUGCUGUUGGCAAUCCAUAUAAAAUGAUUGAUUAUUUUCUAGGUCAUGCAGCAAAACAGUUUGUAGACAAGCACGUCUUACCGGAGGUUCCUCAACAGCCAGGUCAUGGUCUCCAAAUCAAACACACUAGCCUGCAGGUACUGUGGAAAACUGUACCAGAGACCAAAAGCUCUCCGCAAACACGAAGCAUCCGGAAUAUAAUGCUGAAAACAAUCAGGAUUCCACAUCUUCAGCAGAAUCAAGAUCAUCUAUUUAUCAGUACACCCGUCUGUCUCUCAUGCUUGGGCUUCUUCGAAUAAAUCACAACGAUUCCAUUCACAUGGGAGAUGGUGGCAGGCAUGAUGAGACUAGUAAAGUGGUUCUGUUUAUACUACAAGGCAAGCAAAUGUCCAAAGUAUGCAUAUGGUCUCCUUUGAAACACAGGCAAAGGCAUAUGCUCUCCUAUAUGAACGGCAGGCUUUAUAGAUUGAUAUGGAACCGCACAGUCAACCAUCAAGGCAGAGAAGACACCAAUCAUCCCAUCGACCUUGACUUGGAGCAUUGCAACAGGGCUUUCAA